CGGGAUGUAGCGCAGCUUGGUAGCGCAUCCGCUUUGGGAGCGGAGGGUCGCAGGUUCAAAUCCUGUCAUCCCGACCC
rnacentral:tRNA from 4 species